ACUCAAAUGAAUUGACGGGGACCCGCACAAGCGGUGGAGCAUGUGGUUUAAUCCGAUGCUAAGCGAAGAACCUUACCAAGGCUUGACAUCCUGGGAAUCUUCUAGAAAUAGAAGAGUGCCUUCGGGAAUCCAGUGACAGGUGCUGCAUGGCCGUCGUCAGCUCGUGUCGUGAGAUGUUGGGUUAAGUCCCGCAACGAGCGCAACCCCUGUCGUCUGUUGUAUUUUUCAGGCGAGACUGCCCCGGCCAACGGGGAGGAAGGUGGGGAUGACGUCAGGUCUGCAUGGCCCUUACGCCUUGGGCUACACACGUGCUACAAUGGCCGGCACAACGCGUCCGCGAAAGCGCAAGCUGGAGCUAAUCGCAUCAAAACCGGUCUCAGUUCGGAUUGAGGGCUGCAACUCGCCCUCAUGAAGCCGGAAUCGCUAGUAACCGUGGAUCAGCACGCCACGGUGAAUACGUUCCCGGGUCUUGUACACACCGCCCGU
rnacentral:rRNA from 1 species